rnacentral:rRNA from 1 species
UUUAACACAUGCAAGUCGAACGGAAACGAAUAUAGCUUGCUAUUUGGCGUCGAGUGGCGAACGGGUGAGUAACGCGUAGGAAUCUACCCAGUAGAGGGGGAUAGCCCGAAGAAAUUCGGAUUAAUACCGCAUAUUCUCUAAGGAGAAAAGAAGGCCUCUUUACAAUGCUUUUACUAUUGGAUGAGCCUGCGUUAGAUUAGUUAGUUGGUAGGGUAAAAGCCUACCAAGGCGACGAUCUAUAGCUGGUUUUACGAGAAUGAUCAGCCACACUGGAACUGAGACACGGUCCAGAUUUAUACGGGAGGCAGCAGUGAAGAAUAUUGGACAAUGGGGGAAACCCUGAUCCAGCAAUGCUGCGUGUGUGAAGAAGGUCCGAGGAUUGUAAAGCACUUUCAGUAAGCAAGAAAAGUGUAAAUCUAAUAGAUUUGAAUAUUGACCACUUAUAGAAGAAGCACCGGCUAACUCCGUGCCAGCAGCCGCGGUAAUACGGAGGGUGCGAGCGUUAAUCGGAAUUACUGGGCGUAAAGGGUAAGUAGGCGGUUUAUAAAGUCACAUGUGAAAGCCCUAGGCUUAACCUAGG